rnacentral:lncRNA from 1 species
GCUGAUAUGGCAUUUACUGAUUGGAAAUGGUUUGCAGGAUUUGAAAUUCUUUUUUAAUCACAAUUUUGCUGCAUGACUGCACAAGAAAGUUGUGCAUAUAAAGAGUAUACUUUGUCGGACUGGCUGCAUCUAAAGGUGUAAGAGGCCUGGCAGCUUUGUCCUGGCCAGCCAAUAAAACCCAGCAGAUGUGCAUGAAUCAAAAGUGAGUUCAUCAUGAGUGGGAAGACAAAUGCAUGGAACAAGACUGCUAGCAUCAUUUAUGAGUCAUGAACUUCUCCAUCAGGGC